UUUAAAUUAAAGUAAUCAAAAUAAUAAUAUACUUUGGCAAUCUAAUUGGUGGUCUUGAAUAUUGAUGGAGAGAUUGCUCAGAGUUGGUGGGUAUUUGAUUCAAUUGUCUUAACUAAUAUGUUAUAACUCACUUGUAUUAGAGUCUGUCUUUUAGAGAUGAAUGAAAAAAAAUGUCAGUACCUAAUAGUUAAGGGAAAUGGUAAUAAUUUGUUAAUUAUAAUAAGUUCAGACAAUAAUAAUAUACAUGUGAACAGUUCAAGGAAAAGAGAGACAUUCCUUCUCAGCCAUCCAAAUCAUCUGUUGG
rnacentral:misc_RNA from 1 species